rnacentral:rRNA from 1 species
AACGAACGCUGGCGGCGGGCCUCAUACAUGCAAGUCGAGCGCGAAAGUCCGCAAGGAUGAGUAAAGCGGCGCACGGGUGAGUAACACGUGGAUAAUCUACCCUUUGGAUUGGAAUAACCUGUCGAAAGACGGGCUAAUGCCGAGUAAGCCCUCGGGAGCGUGAAGCUUCUGCGGGGAAAGAUGGCGCAAGCUAUCGCCGAUGGAUGAGUCUGCGUCCCAUUAGUUAGUUGGUGAGGUAAUGGCUUACCAAGACAAUGAUGGGUACCUGGUCUGAGAGGAUGAUCAGGCACACUGGAACUGAAACACGGUCCAGACUCCUACGGGAGGCUG